rnacentral:rRNA from 1 species
UGGGGAAUCUUGCACAAUGGGCGAAAGCCUGAUGCAGCCAUGCCGCGUGAAUGAUGAAGGCCUUAGGGUUGUAAAAUUCUUUCGUCAGGGAUGAUAAUGACCGUACCUGAAGAAGAAGCCCCGGCUAACUUCGUGCCAGCAGCCGCGGUAAUACGAAGGGGGCUAGCGUUGUUCGGAAUUACUGGGCGUAAAGCGCACGUAGGCGGACUUUUAAGUCAGGUGUGAAAUCCCGGGGCUCAACCUCGGAACUGCAUUUGAAACUGGAAGUCUUGAGACCAGGAGAGGUUAGCGGAAUACCGAGUGUAGAGGUGAAAUUCGUAGAUAUUCGGUGGAACACCAGUGGCGAAGGCGGCUAACUGGACUGGUACUGACGCUGAGGUGCGAAAGUGUGGGGAGCAAA